GCCUGUAGUCCCAGGUUCUCGGGAGGCUGAGGCAGGAUGAUCGCUUGAGCUCAGGAGUUCUGGGCUAUAGUGUGCUAUGCCAAUUGGGUGUCUGCACUAAGUUUGGCAUCAGUAUGGUGACCUCCUUGGAAGGGGGACCACAAGGUUGCCUAACAAGGGGUGAACCAGCCCAGGUCAGAAAUGGAGCAGGUCAAAACUCCUGUGCUAAUCAGUCGUGGGAUCGCACCCGUGAAUACCCACUGCACUCCAGCCUGGGCAAUAUAGCAAGACCCCAUCUCU
rnacentral:SRP_RNA from 1 species